ACACCUCAACUCUCACGGCUUGCCGUGAUGAGCUUGGACUUUGGGGGUCUUGUUGGCCUGUGAGCCAGCUCCUCUUAAAUGAAUUAGCUUGCCGGUGUUUGGUGGCAUCACAGGUGUGAUAACUAUCUACGCUUGUGGUUUCCCAUCAGAUAACCUUCAGCAAUGGAGGUUCACUGGGGCUUAUAAACAUCUCUCCUCGGUGAGGACAGAUUUUGACC
rnacentral:misc_RNA from 1 species